rnacentral:rRNA from 1 species
UACGUAGGGGGCGAGCGUUGUCCGGAUUUAUUGGGCGUAAAGAGCUCGUAGGCGGCUCGGUAAGUCGGAUGUGAAACCUCCAGGCUCAACCUGGAGACGCCAUCUGAUACUGCCGUGGCUUGAGUCCGGUAGAGGAGCAGGGAAUUCCUGGUGUAGCGGUGAAAUGCGCAGAUAUCAGGAGGAACACCGGUGGCGAAGGCGGAUCUCUGGGCCAUUACUGACGCUGGAGGAGCGAAAGCGUGGGAGCGAACAGG